AAUAGAUACCCAGGUAGUCCACGCCGUAAACGAUGAGUGCUAAGUGUUAGAGGGUUUCCGCCCUUUAGUGCUGCAGCUAACGCAUUAAACACUCCGCCUGGGGAGUACGGUCGCAAGACUGAAACUCAAAGGAAUUGACGGGGGCCCGCACAAGCGGUGGAGCAUGUGGUUUAAUUCGAAGCAACGCGAAGAACCUUACCAGGUCUUGACAUCUCACUGACCGGUAUAGAGAUAUACCUUUCCCUUCGGGGACAGUGGUGACAGGUGGUGCAUGGUUGUCGUCAGCUCGUGUCGUGAGAUGUUGGGUUAAGUCCCGCAACGAGCGCAACCCUUGAUCUUAGUUGCCAGCAUUUAGUUGGGCACUCUAAGGUGACUGCCGGUGACAAACCGGAGGAAGGUGGGGAUGACGUCAAAUCAUCAUGCCCCUUAUGACCUGGGCUACACACGUGCUACAAUGGAUGGUACAAAGGGCUGCAAGACUGCGAAGUCAAGCCAAAUCCCAUAAAAACCAUUCUCAGUUCGGAUUGCAGG
rnacentral:rRNA from 1 species